AUGGACAUUGCGAUAACAUUAGACUGAGUACAACACACCAUAAUUAUACGCAUCACAGGACGUUUUUAGAACGUAAAUUGUUACGCUCACUGGAAGACGAAUCACUCCUUGCACUGACAGAACCCUCAUCAGAGUCAUUGUCACUGUCAUCUAAAACAGGGUUUACCCGUAUUUGGUGUCUUUGCGGGAGAUCUAAAGAACGCUCCCACAGUGGGUAUCGAAGCCACGACCUCCCGGUCGCUAAGCGGACACCAUAUCCAGUACACCACGGCGACCUCAAACAUUUGUUGAAAACAAACGUCGAGGUAAAAGAACAUACCAGAUAAAGACCUGUGCAAGAUUCGAUUCUUCGACCCCCCCACUCCGUGGUCGAAUGCGUUAACAAUGUUUGUCAUGGAGACGAUUCAUUUGAAACAUGUUUGGAACAAGUAAAUCCAAGAAAACGUAUUUUUGAAA